GACGGCAGCAACUUCUCAGAAAAUACAGAUGUCCAGAAAUUGUGGCUGGCCCCUUCUUUUUAAAUCCACCAAUGCCAUCUCUAGAAGAAUCGAUCAGGGGAAAGUGCCAUAACUGAUACUGAGGAAUGUUGGAUAAGAGGCCAUUCUUCAAAAAUGAGAGCUCUGAAAGUACACAGAAGAAAUGGAUGAGUAUCAAAGGUCAUUCACCCCCAGACUCGUUGCCUUUCAACAAACUCUCCAUCAUCUUCCACUGUUUGGCACUUGAGAAGCCUAUGAAUGUCAUCUCACUCCAGCCAAAUAGCCCUGAUUAGAGAGGAUGCUUGGAAGAAAAGCAGCUGUCCUGUGACUAUGAG